rnacentral:lncRNA from 1 species
CCACAAUUUCGACGAAGUCUCAAUAUUUCUCUUUCGCUUAUGGUUGACAUCACUUACAUUCAUCACAGAAGAAUUAAUACUUAGAGGCAACAAGUAAAGCUUAUCAUGUAAAGGGGCAUGACCAAUAAUCUUAUUGUCAAAACUUAUUACACACUUGUUGUUCCCAAAGUUGCAUGAAUAACCAUCACAAUCUAACGAUGAAACAGAAAUCAAGUUUCUCUUAAGCGACGGUACAUAAAGAACAUUAUUUAAAUGAAGCUUGAAGCUAUUGUUAAGUUCUAAUGCGAGAUCCCAGCAUGAAUCCAUUUGCAACUCUAAUGGCAUGAAUCCCCUUUCUAACCCACGCGCCACUUAAUCCACCAUCUACUUUAAUGAAAAAUCAAUCCUCCAUGAAUGGUUGCACCAGAAUCA